UUGCACGCUGGCGGCAGGCCUAACACAUGCCAGUCGAACGGUAACAGGAAGAAGCUUGCUUCUUUGCUGACGAGUGGCGGACGGGUGAGUAAUGUCUGGGAAACUGCCUGAUGGAGGGGGAUAACUACUGGAAACGGUAGCUAAUACCGCAUAACGUCGCAAGACCAAAGAGGGGGACCUUCGGGCCUCUUGCCAUCGGAUGUGCCCAGAUGGGAUUAGCUAGUAGGUGGGGUAACGGCUCACCUAGGCGACGAUCCCUAGCUGGUCUGAGAGGAUGACCAGCCACACUGGAACUGAGACACGGUCCAGACUCCUACGGGAGGCAGCAGUGGGGAAUAUUGCACAAUGGGCGCAAGCCUGAUGCAGCCAUGCCGCGUGUAUGAAGAAGGCCUUCGGGUUGUAAAGUACUUUCAGCGGGGAGGAAGGGAGUAAAGUUAAUACCUUUGCUCAUUGACGUUACCCGCAGAAGAAGCACCGGCUAACUCCGU
rnacentral:rRNA from 1 species